rnacentral:rRNA from 1 species
UACGUAGGGGGCGAGCGUUGUCCGGAAUUAUUGGGCGUAAAGGGUUCGUAGGCGGCCUUUUAAGUCAGAUGUGAAAGAUCACGGCUCAACCGUGGUAAGCAUUUGAAACUGGAAGGCUUGAGUUAAGGAGAGGAAAGUGGAAUUCCUAGUGUAGCGGUGAAAUGCGUAGAUAUUAGGAGGAAUACCAGUGGCGAAGGCGACUUUCUGGACUUAUACUGACGCUGAGGAACGAAAGCGUGGGGAGCAAACAGG